UCAAAAGUAGAAGCGUUUCCCAAAGAUUAACACUGGGUGAGCAGUUUACCAAAAAAUUAUUGACGGUCCUCCCCCACAAUCCCGAGUAUAAAUCAGGUAAGCAUGCAAACGCUUGGGUGCAGCAAGAGCAAAGUCCCACAUUGCAUCGAAAGCUCAGAAAUCGAGCUGUGAGAAAUGUAGCAAGGGAAAAGACGACUUGUGUGAAAGAGAUGCAUGAUGAAAACUGUUGAAACGCAAAACGAGUGCCUCAGAUCUGCAUCCAACAAACUUCCGUCUUCAGCCUACUCCAACUCCCACAGAAGGGACUCGGGCCAAAGUCAGCCCUGAAGCCACCCUCUCCAGCACACUUUGGAGACUGAUGGACGACACGGGAGGACCGUUCUGAGGGCAAGCACCUGGAUGACCCCAGUCUCUCGGGGAGUCUCGCUCCGGCCCGUUGGGCGGAACCAGGCAGGCUGGGGGCACCCGCAGGCAGAGGGGGCGGGGCAGGGCAUCGGACUUCGCCCAGGACCAGCCUCUCCGUUCCAUGCCGACGCCAGACGGCGCCUCGGGGACCGGCAAGAUGCUGAGAAGCAAAAAUAAAGGGGCACUGUGAAUCAGCCCCGGUUUUCACUCACCAGACGUCGCCGCUCGACGUUGGCAGUGGCAGGACCUCUUCUCCUUCCGCCAUUGCUGUUGACGUCCACGUCACUUUGCCGAAAAGUGGACCCGGCGCUAAGACGGACUCUGAGACCCAAUGUCGUAAAAGGUCUUCGGAAGUCCAGCUAAGCUUUCCCAGAGGGGAAGAAAGAGGGAGGUGGCUAGGGACGGGAGGAACGCAACGUCACGGCGUCCCGAGGGCGAAAAGCAGCGUCUUGCGGGAGGAGACUUGGUGGAGGCAGCUGCCCCUCCAAAGACUACAGCCUGGAAGAUCAAGUCUGUAUUUACAAUUCUAGGACUGGAAUUCCAGGCAAGGAGAGCUACCAAAAUCCUCUUCCCGUUCCACUUACCCUUUACACCAUAUGGGUGGACGCUUGGCCACCGCUGGGGCCACGCUCAGGAGGAUGGACCUAAGGAAAUGCUUUUGCAAACCCUGAAAACAACAGUGAUGAAGGAGAACGGCCUGGUGCUGUGCUAAGGUGAUGCUCUAGUGGUGAUCCCUGGAUCUGUACACAAUACAGCCAUUCCAAGAUGUAUCUCCAAGAAAGGGGCAUCCGAGUCUACAUCAUCCAUGUCAGAGAUGAAGUCUCACCACGUUACCCAGACUGGUCUCAAACUCCUGGGCUGAAGCAAUCUGCCUGCCUCAGCCUCCCAAAGUGCUGAGAUUACAGAGAAUUGGGAGGCCUGAGAAGAGGAAGCGAGACAGGGCAAUGGCUAACUGGUGGAGCAGAUGGAACACACGCAACAUUUAUCAAGUUCACUGUCAUAUGGGCAUGGUUUGUGUUGCCCCAAAGCAACUACAAUAGUAACAUCAAAAAUCGCUGAUCACAGAUCAUCAUAACAGAUACAAUGAUAAUGAACAAGUGUGAUGUACAUGAUAUCAUUGUUUGAUACAAUAAUAAUGAAAAAGUUUGACCAAAAGGUGACGCAGAGACACAAAGUGAGCAAAUGCUGUUGGAAAAAUGGCACUGAUAGACUUGUUCUGUGCAGAGCUGCCACAAACCUUCGAUUUAUAAAAAGUGCAGUAUCUGCUAAUGUCAAUAAAGUGGAAUGCAUUGAAA